rnacentral:rRNA from 1 species
CCCUUAGAUGUUCUGGGCCGCACGCGCGCUACACUGACGAAUGCAACGAGCUUAUAACCUUGGCCGAAAGGUCUGGGUAAUCUCCAAAUUUCGUCGUGAUGGGGAUAGAUUAUUGCAAUUAUUAAUCUUCAACGAGGAAUGCCUAGUAAGCGCAAGUCAUCAGCUUGCGUUGAUUACGUCCCUGCCCUUUGUACACACCGCCCGUCGCUCCUACCGAUUGAAUGGUCCGGUGAAGCGCUCGGACCGCGGCCUCUUGACGGUUCGCUGUCGAUUGGCUGUGGGAAGUUCGUUAAACCUUAUCAUUUAGAGGAAGGAGAAGUCGUNACA